rnacentral:tRNA from 1 species
UCCCUGCUGACUCAGAGGGUAAAGAAUAUGCCUGCAAAGCAGGAGACCUGGGUUUGAUCCCUGGGUAGGGAA